UUCCAGUCAUCACAGAGGCUUAAAGAUUAGGAAUUUGCUCAGGUCAAAGAGCCAUUAAAAGGAAAAGCCAAGGGGCUUAUCCAUUGCGCUCCGAAUGUGCUGACUCUUGCCAUUUCCUCAAAUGUGGGAAACUCGGCUGCAUAAUUUGUGGUAGUGGGGGACUGCAUCUGUACGCUCCCCUG
rnacentral:snRNA from 1 species